UACGGGGGGGGCAAGCGUUGUUCGGAAUUACUGGGCGUAAAGGGCUCGUAGGCGGCCAACUAAGUCGGAUGUGAAAUCCCCAGGCUUAACCUGGGAACUGCAUCCGAUACUGGAUGGCUUGAAUCCGGGAGAGGGAUGCAGAAUUCCAGGUGUAGCGGUGAAAUGCGUAGAUGUCUGGAGGAAUACCGGUGGCGAAGGCGGCAUCCUGGACCGGCAUUGACGCUGAGGAGCGAAAGCUAGGGGAGCAAACGGG
rnacentral:rRNA from 1 species